rnacentral:rRNA from 1 species
UACAGAGGGUGCAAGCGUUGUUCGGAAUUAUUGGGCGUAAAGCGCGUGUAGGCGACAGUGCAAGUCGGGUGUGAAAGCCCUCAGCUCAACUGAGGAAGUGCGCCCGAAACUGCAUUGCUUGAGUACCGGAGAGGAUGGUGGAAUUCCCGAAGUAGAGGUGAAAUUCGUAGAUAUCGGGAGGAACACCGGUGGCGAAGGCGACCAUCUGGACGGAUACUGACGCUGAGACGCGAAAGCGUGGGUAGCAAACAGGAUUAGAUACCCUGGUAGUCCACGCCGUAAACGAUGAGAACUAGGUGUUGUGGGUGUUGACCCCCGCGGUGCCGAAGCUAACGCAUUAAGUUCUCCGCCUGGGAAGUACGGCCGCAAGGCUAAA